GCGGGCCGGGCCUCUCGGGCCUGUUCUUUCUGGGCCCUCAGGGCCGCCCGCCUCGCCUCCGCCGCCGCCUCCCGGUGCUCACUGAGGGCCCACAAAGGGCGCCUACACUGUGCGCGUCUCUCUUCAGCCAUCGCUGGAUGCCUUCUGUUGACAUUUCCGUGCCAGAGCCAAUUGAGGAUGUCCUUGAGAGGGUGCCGGCGCUUCCCGGAUCUCCGGAAGGUGCUGUCCAAUCCAGUUGUGGAUCCAGGCGGGAGGCAGACUGCGUUGGAUGAUCCAGAACGUUGGAUAAGCGAGUGUUGGAUAAGUGAGACUCUACUGUAUAUAAUGAGCAGAGCCUCUUACUGGGAGCAGGGGUCUCCAGCUGAUGUCAAAGCAGCAAAGAUGGAACUGUCUUUCCAUAGAAACGUUGGAAGCUGGAUGGACAUGUUGGAAGACUCUUGGGGAUGCGUCCUUGAUGGAAGAAGAAGGGCUGCCCCUUGGAGCCUCUGUAGAGUCUUGUUGUUGUUGUUGUGAGUGUCAUAAUCUUCAUCCUCAUCAUCAUUAUUAUGGCGAAGCUGGAUGGACAGUUGGAAGACUGUUGGGGAUGGAAGAAGACUUGAUGGAAGAAGGGCUGCCCCUUGGAGUCUCUGUAGAGUUUUAUUAUUGUUGUUGUUGUUGUUGUGAGUGUCAUCAUCUUCAUCAUCAGCAUUAUUAUUAUGGUGAAGCUGGAUGGGCAUGUCUGAAGACUCUUGGGGAUAGAAGACUUUGAAGCCUUGAUGGAAGAAAGGCUGCCCCUUGGAGCCUCUGUAGAGUCUUGUUGUUGUUGUUGUUGUGAGUGUCAUCAUCUUCUUCAUCAUCAUCAUUAUUAUGAUGAAGCUGGAUGGACAUGUUGGAAGACCCUUGGGGAUGGAAGACUUUGAAGACUUGAUGGAAGAAAGGCUGCCCCUUGGAGCCUCUGUAGAGUCUUGUUGUUGUUGUUGUUGUGAGUGUCAUCAUCUUCUUCAUCAUCAUCAUUAUUAUGAUGAAGCUGGAUGGACAUGUUGGAAGACCCUUGGGGAUGGAAGACUUUGAAGACUUGAUGGAAAAAGAAGGGUUGGCCCUUGGAGUCUCUGUAGAGUCUUAUUGUUGUUGUUGUUGUGAGUGUCAUCAUCUUCAUCAUCAGCAUUAUUAUUAUGGUGAAGCUGGAUGAACACGUUGGAAGACUCUUGGGGAUGGAAGAAGGGCUGCCCCUUGGAGCCUCUGUAGAGUCGUAUUAUUGUUGUUGUUGUUGUGAGUGUCAUCAUCUUAAUCAUCAUCAUUAUUAUUAUUAUGGUGAAGCUGGAUGGACAUGUUGGAAGACUGUUGGGGAUGGAAGAAGACUUGAUGGAAGAAGUGUUGGCCCUUGGAGUCUCUGUAGAGUCUUAUUGUUGUUGUUGUUGUUGUUGUUGGCGAAGCUGGAUGGACAUGUUGGAAGACUGUUGGGGAUGGAAGAAGGGCUGCCCCUUGGAGUCUCUGUAGAGUUUUAUUAUUAUUGUUGUUGUUGUUGUUGUGAGUGUCAUAAUCUUCAUCCUCAUCAUCAUUAUUAUGGCGAAGCUGGAUGGACAUGUUGGAAGACUGUUGGGGAUGGAAGAAGACUUGAUGGAAGAAGGGCUGCCCCUUGGAGUCUCUGUAGAGUUUUAUUAUUGUUGUUGUUGUUGUUGUUUUGAGUGUCAUCAUCUUCAUCAUCAGCAUUAUUAUUAUGGUGAAGCUGGAUGGACAUGUUGGAAGACUGUUGGGGAUACGCCCCUGAUGGAAGAAGGGUUGGCCCUUGGGAGUCUCUGUAGAGUCUUGUUGUUGUUGUUGUGAGUGUCAUAAUCUUCAUCCUCAUCAUCAUUAUUAUGGCGAAGCUGAAUGGACAUGUCUGAAGACUCUCGGGGAUGGAAGACUUUGAAGCCUUGAUGGAAGAAGGGCUGCCCCUUGGAGUCUCUGUAGAAUCUUGUUGUUGUUGUUGUUGUGAGUGUCUUCAUCUUCAUCUUCAUGAUCAUUAUUAUGGCGUCGGGAUGCGGGGCAGGAAGUGCAGCUCCUCCUGGUUUGGUCCCCGGAUGUGGGCGGGCAGCAGGAGGGGGCGGAGCUUGCCCUGUGGGCGGGGCCUGGCCCUUCCGGAAGGCCUACUCCCGCCCGGCCGCGCCUUGGCCUCGCCCAGGAUAGGCAGUGGGCCGUCCAUGUCGGGCCAAGCCAGGAGAGGCUGGAGCCGGCCUUGCUUCUGCAUGACUCCGCCCGCCGCCUCCCGGUGCUCGCUGAGGGCCCACAACGGGCGCCUACUCUGCCUGCUUCUCUCCUCCGCCAUGGCUGGAUGUGACGUCUUCCUCCGGAAAGGAGGGUGUCCCGGGCAGGAGGGGCGUCUUUGCAUUGCUGAGAGGUCAAGGGGUCUCGGGGCCGCCUCGCAAGGCACCUGGUCACUUUGGAGAUGGAGGGACGGGUCUCCCUUCGGAGUCUGCUCUGUGUGCAUCCAGUGUCUGAAGCAGAAGGAAACGGGGGACCCAGUGUGAAGAGCCUUGGCCUGGCAUCGAUGAUGGGAGGAGGGAAGCCAAGCCGGGGGCCGGACCACCACACCGGGCAGCAGCGAGGGGUCACCGGGCGAGUCCCUUGGCGGAGAAGUAGAGCCUCAGUCCAAGUCCUUGCCGCUCUGGCCUGGAUCGGCCCCUCGCUUGCGGUCGGCACUCUUGAAGAAGCCCAGCUGCAGACAUGCGGAAAAGGACACAAAGGCAGAGGGGUCAGGGCUGCAUCCAGAGGGAGGUGGCUGGACAUUUAGACAUUGGUUUGCUUGUUUACAGUGUUUAUAUCCCGCCCUUCUUUCUCGCCCCGAAGGGGACUCAGAGCAGAUCACAUUGCACAUGGCAAAGCAUUCAGUGCCAUUAGACAUACGACAUCUUGUAAAUCACCUAGAGCAUCAUGGAUGGAGGGCGAUUAAUACAGUAGAGUCUCACUUAUCCAAGCUAAACGGGCCGGCAGAAGCUUGGAUAAGCGAAUAACUUGGAUGAUAAGGAGAGAUUAAGGAAAAGUCUAUUAAACAUCAAAUUAGGUUAUGAUUUUACAAAUUAAGCACCAAAACUUCAUGUUAUACAACAAAUCUGACAGAAAAAGUAGUUCAAUAUGCUGUAAUGUUAUGUUGUAAUUACUAUAUUUACGAAUUUAGCACCAAAAUAUCAUGAUAUAUUGAAAACAUUGACUACAAAAAUGGCUUGGAUUAUCCAGAGGCUUGGAUAAGCGAGGCUUGGAUUAGUGAGACUCUACUGUAAGUAAUUAAAUGAUGAUGAUGAUGAUGAUGAUGACAUAGAGACACGUGUGUACGCCUUCCCCAGCACUUUAAUGGGAACAACAGCUCUGGUAUCUACCUCUCCCUGAUGGUACUGACACUACUUGCACUUUUGGCCCAGUUCUUUUUGGAGCCAACCCAAAAUUUUAUCCGUAUAUUUAUUGUAUGUGACCUCAUUUGUUUUAUGAUUUGUUUUAUUGUCGAUUGACUUAUUUUAUUGCUAUGUUUUUAUAUUGUCUGAUGUCUGGGCUUGGCCCCAUGUAAGCCGCCCCGAGUCCCUUCGGGGAGAUGGGGCGGAGUAUAAAAAUAAAAUUAUUAUUAUUAUUA